GAGCGAAAUUCCCUAAGAAGGGAGUGAAAUUCCCUUGGAAGGGAGUGAAAUUCCCUUGGAAGGGAGUGAAAUUCCCU
rnacentral:sRNA from 1 species